rnacentral:rRNA from 2 species
GGAUGCGAUCAGACCAGCACUAAACUGGAUCCCAUCAGAACUCCGCAGUUAAGCGUGCUUGGGCAAGAGUAGUACUAGGAUGGGUGACCUCCCGGGAAGUCCUCGUAUUGCAUCCC